rnacentral:rRNA from 1 species
AAGGGAGCGUAGGCGGCUGAUUAAGUCAGCGGUGAAAGGUAGCAGCUUAACUGUUUUACAUGCCGUUGAUACUGGUUAGCUUGAGUUGACAGAAGGCAGAUAGAAUUCCUGGUGUAGCGGUGAAAUGCUUAGAUACAAGGAGGAAUACCGAUUGCGAAGGCAGUCUGCUGCAGUCACACUGACGCUGAGGCUCGAAGGUGCGGGGAUCAAACAGGAUUAGAUACCCCAGU